UAUAUACUCCCUCCGUUCGGGAAUACUUGUCCUAGAAAUAGAUGUAUCUAGACUUUAUUUAGUUAUAGAUACACCCAUUUUGUACAUUUCUAGGACAAGUAUUUCCGGACGCAGGGAGUAAAAG
rnacentral:pre_miRNA from 1 species